rnacentral:rRNA from 1 species
UACGGAGGGUGCAAGCGUUGUCCGGCAUCACUGGGCGUAAAGGGCGCGUAGGCGGCUCAUGAAGGCUGUGGUGAAAGUCCGGGGCUCAACCUCGGAUCGGCCGUGGCGACUCGUGGGCUGGAGCACUGUAGAGGCGGGUGGAAUUCCGGGUGUAGCGGUGGAAUGCGUAGAGAUCCGGAAGAACACCAGUGGCGAAGGCGGCCCGCUGGGCAGUGGCUGACGCUGAGGCGCGACAGCGUGGGGAGCAAACAGG